rnacentral:rRNA from 1 species
CCUACGGGAGGCUGCAGUGAGGAAUAUUGGUCAAUGGACGAGAGUCUGAACCAGCCAAGUAGCGUGAAGGAUGACUGCCCUAUGGGUUGUAAACUUCUUUUAUAUGGGAAUAAAACGUUCCACGUGUGGGAUUUUGUAUGUACCAUAUGAAUAAGGAUCGGCUAACUCCGUGCCAGCAGCCGCGGUAAUACGGAGGAUCCGAGCGUUAUCCGGAUUUAUUGGGUUUAAAGGGAGCGUAGGUGGAUUGUUAAGUCAGUUGUGAAAGUUUGCGGCUCAACCGUAAAAUUGCAGUUGAAACUGGCAGUCUUGAGUACAGUAGAGGUGGGUGGAAUUCGUGGUGUAGCGGUGAAAUGCUUAGAUAUCACGAAGAACUCCGAUUGCGAAGGCAGUUCACUGGACUGCAACUGACACUGAGGCUCGAAAGUGUGGGUAUCAAACAGGAUUAGAUACCCUGGUAGUC